UGGGAAUAUUGCACAAUGGGCGGAAGCCUGAUGCAGCAACGCCGCGUGCGGGAUGACGGCCUUCGGGUUGUAAACCGCUUUCGCCUGUGACGAAGCGUGAGUGACGGUAAUGGGUAAAGAAGCACCGGCUAACUACGUGCCAGCAGCCGCGGUGAUACGUAGGGUGCGAGCGUUGUCCGGAUUUACUGGGCGUAAAGGGCUCGUAGGUGGUUGAUCGCGUCGGAAGUGUAAUCUUGGGGCUUAACCCUGAGCGUGCUUUCGAUACGGGUUGACUUGAGGAAGGUAGGGGAGAAUGGAAUUCCUGGUGGAGCGGUGGAAUGCGCAGAUAUCAGGAGGAACACCAGUGGCGAAGGCGGUUCUCUGGGCCUUUCCUGACGCUGAGGAGCGAAAGCGUGGGGAGCGAACAGGCUUAGAUACCCUGGUAGUCCACGCUGUAAACGGUGGGUACUAGGUGUGGGGUCCAUUCCACGGGUUCCGUGCCGUAGCUAACGCUUUAAGUACCCCGCCUGGGGAGUACGGCCGCAAGGCUA
rnacentral:rRNA from 1 species